GUGUUAACCUGAAAAUCUUUAGAACAUGAUACAAAUGACGGAGAAUCCAACCGACGGAAAGGAAGACUAUCACAAAAAGAUUGAAUAAGUUUGCUGUCUGAGUUUCCAGAUGAAGGAACAAGGCUCUCAUCAUAACUGAAUGAAUCGAGGUACUAAUGGAUGCAGGACUAAUCCAUGGCCAUUUCCUGCAGGAUAAUGAUGGUGUGAUGCUGUUGCAAAGCAAGAUGACAUAAGCUGCGACAACAAUAGUGAUUAAACUGUCAUGGAGUUCCUUGACCAACGGUUUGAGGUCUGUUAAAUGACCGGAUUGCGGAUUGGUUCAGGUCGGAGAGGCAGAUACCUUGGCGCCAGGAAGCUUCCUAAAUCAGGCCCGUGACAGAUAGGUAGAGCAUGCAAUGCUUAGAAGUCGUGAUGCAGUUGCAAAGAAUGCGUAAUAGGCCAAGGGUUGCAUUUGAAAACAUUGAGAAAUCCUUUCCAAAACCUCGUCUGCUGCCGCAUCAAAAUUCCAAUUGAGGGAGUUGGACUGAACUUACGCAUCAAGAUUCAAACAGAAGAGAAGUUCACUGAACCGCUGUUGACAGGAUUCGGCAAUUGCAGGGUUGGUGGAAGUGAACCUGACAUGGGCAAUGCUACUUGUGAAUGAAGGAAUCAUGAUGGAAGCAAGCUAACAUGCAUCUUGGAGGAUAAAUCAUGACUCAUGGGGAAUUCUUUUGGACAUUCCAUUUGCUUGUUUUUUUUGUUGGAUGAUGGAUUAUCAUCAUGCUGUUGUUGGAUUCUUUUUUUUGGAAUGAAUUAUUGGAAUGCUUGAAUUUAGAUUCUUGAUGGAGUUUUGAUUGUUCAUUAAGAUUGUAUUUGUAGGAUUUAUGUAAUAUGAUGAACUUGUAAGAAAAUGUUGUGAAAUGCAAUUUGGAACAUGACUUUGUAAUUUAUGGAAAUGUUGUAAUGCUUGUGUAA